AUAUAUUCCAAUGUUGAGAAGAAUAAUCCAGAAUAUACCAUUCACACGCUUCUCCGGUUUCCGAUUCAGCAGCGGUUUUCCCAGCUCCAACUGCGUCGUUCAUUUUGCACAUCGUGAUGGGCUUCGCACAAACGGAACGCGCGCGGAGACGAAGAACAUUUCUAAAUUGGGGAACGGCAAAAGACGAUGAGAAGGGAUUGAACAACGG
rnacentral:misc_RNA from 1 species